CCAGAAAUCACCAAAACAGAUAAAUAUUUUCCCUUAGGUAGUUAUACCAGUAGGUAUUUACUGAAUUAAGGUAAAUGUCCAUUUUUUAAAGGUAGGAGAUCAAAGUUAAAAUAACCAUGAUCUAUCCUGUUGAUAUAUGUUCUUGACAUGUGAUGAUGUUAUCACUCUCUGGUCUUCCUCUCUAAAUAAAACUCAUAACCAUGAUCACCAUCAUGGGGAAACAUAAGUCCAAUCCAACUAGUAUUGACUAACUAGAGGGAAAGGGCACAUGGGCUAUGUACUAUCUCUGUUCAGAUAACAUGCCUGGAUUGUUGGCUUUAAAAACCAGAGAUUAAAAAGUAACUCAGCCACAAACACAGGAAAAGGGUGUAACGUCACACACAAAUAGUGUAUACUAUAAUGUGCCUCAAAGAUCCAGUUCCCCUUCAGGAAUAAAGCUCUUCUAGUUACUGGUUUAUAGUCUACAUUUGUUGAGUUACUUUCCUAUAUUAUAGCCACUUCCUACAGUUUUAUAGCAAGGAGCAAUAUACUGUAGGAAUAUGAGUAUAGAGUAAGAAUGUGUGAACUAA